ensembl:lncRNA
CGAUGCAGCACUUCGGAAUAUGAAGAGAAUGCUACUAAUUACAUUCUAACGUGUGCAUAUGCGUAUGAAUCUUAAAUGUGUCUCUUUGCAUUUUACAGGAUAAUCCAGCGAACCAUCAGGGCCGCGGUGGAGCAGCACUUCUUGGAGCUGAAAACCUCCAUCGACACCAACUACGACAGCCGGGGGUGAGAGACCAGACGCACGCAGCAACAUGCCCCCAUGCGCACAUGCACAGCACACGCACCGCACACGCACACGACGUAAAUACACUUGUCUCAUGUUUAAGAACAUUUUCACACUGGGCAAAACGGCUUGUGUUGUACUUUUCACCCCACGUGCACCUGCUGGUGGGAACAUGCGUUUCCCAGAUUCCUCAGUGGUGGCGAGCGCCUCCGAUGGCUUUGAAGAACCGUCUCUAGUGAACAUUAUGUACGAAGGGCUCAAGUUACUAGUAAACAUGUUGACAGCUGUGAUGUUAAUUAGCAAACAUGUUUGGGGGGAAGCAGCUGUUCAGUGGUCAGUCACCUCAGACAAGACAACAUGUCACAGCACUUUACUCUGUUCAUCUUAUUUUACUGCCUCUUUUAUUGCUUUGUCCUGCAGGGUGAGUCCCAGUGAGCCUGCAGAACAAGGUCGCCAUGGAGACGAGGCGCAACAAACUGACCCCGAGGACAGCCCCUGCCACACAGAAGGGGAGACCCCGCUCACACCGAGCGAGCAGCUCGUACAACAAAGCCAGACGGACACACGGGAUCCCUUUGCCCCCGGCGACGCCCUGGAGGAGAGCUCUGGAAUGGACCUGGACGCCGAGGCCGCCCCAGAUGCUGAGAACAACAUCAACACCGCCAGGCAGGACAAUCGACCCUGUGACAACAUGGAGCAGACUCAGGCUGACACCAUCAGCUGUGAUCCGAAUUCAUGCCGCUGUGAUCAGAACGCCAACAACAGCAAGACCAACAGGAACCACCUGUCGCCAUGCCAACCAAAAUCCGGCCACAACCCUCAUCUGCAACUCUUCCCUGACAGCCAAUGGGAAGCAUCACCCCCCUCCCAUGUCCCUCCCAUAGACUUCUCAUGUAUGCAUCUGCAAAAAGAAGGCCAAGGUGAGUAGUCGAGCGUCUACCCAUCACCAGCCAGCGAGCUUUCCUUCCAUCCUCUCGCCUUGAUUUCUUUUACGAAGGCGCUUCGAUCUGGAUUUCUUACAGGAUCCGUUUCGAGCCUUCUUUUAAUAUUUUAUCAUCAUUUAUUCAUUUAAAUAUUUCAUUAAUUUAAAAUGAACAUGUGACAAAGAAUCCUGAAUUGAAAACUUGUUUAUUUAUUGACGGGCAACAUAUUUGCCCCUUUUCUACAAAGAGCCUUUAAUAUUGCUGUAAAGACGAUCGUCUU